AAUGAACGCUGGCGGCAGGCCUAACACAUGCAAGUCGAGCGGAGUGUCGAACGGGUGAGUAAUGCCUAGGAAUCUGCCUGGUAGUGGGGGAUAACUUCCGGAAACGGGAGCUAAUACCGCAUACUAUCAGAUCAGCCGAGGUCGGAUUAGCUAGUGGGUGGGGUAACGGCCUACCAAGGCGACGAUCCGUAACUGGUCUGAGAGGAGGAGCAGUAACACUGGAACGGAAAAACGGCCCAGACUCCUACGGGAGGCAGCAGUGGGGAAUAUGGGACAAUGGGGGAAACCCUGAUCCAGCCAUCCCGCGUGUGUGAUGAAGGUCUUCGGGUUGUAAAGCACUUUAAGUAGGGAGGCGUUACCAACAGAAUAAGCACCGGCUAACUUCGUGCCAGCAGCCACGGUAAUAC
rnacentral:rRNA from 1 species